AGUGAACGCUGGCGGUAGGCCUAACACAUGCAAGUCGAACGGCAGCACAGGAGAGCUUGCUCUCUAGGUGGCGAGUGGCGGACGGGUGAGGAAUACAUCGGAAUCUGCCCAGUCGUGGGGGAUAACGUAGGGAAACUUACGCUAAUACCGCAUACGACCUUCGGGUGAAAGAGGGGGAUCGCAAGACCUCUCGCGAUUGGAUGAGCCGAUGUCGGAUUAGCUAGUUAGCGGGGUAAUGGCCCACCAAGGCGACGAUCCGUAGCUGGUCUGAGAGGAUGAUCAGCCACCAUGGAACUGAGACACGGUCCAGACUCCUACGGGAGGCAGCAGUGGGGAAUAUUGGACAAUGGGCGCAAGCCUGAUCCAGCCAUACCGCGUGGGUGAAGAAGGCCUUCGGGUUGUAAAGCCCUUUUGUUGGGAAAGAAAUCUUUCAGGCUAAUACCCUGGGAGGAUGACGGUACCCAAAGAAUAAGCACCGGCUAACUUCGUG
rnacentral:rRNA from 1 species